CAAAUGGUGAUAAUGAGAGCCUGGUGAUACUGAGUUGCUAGGACUCCAGGUGAGAGCCACUGGUGCCUGGCUCGUCCUGGCCUUUAGUAGGAUGAUUGACUAUCGUCUGUGACUCUCCACUGACGCCGAGAGCAGUGUGGUCUUGCCAGGUGUUAGGUAUGUGUCAGGGAAUCCACUGCUCCUUCUGGAAACCCUCUGCACCCAGCAGUGUACUUUCUGGGAUGCAGGACUCUUGUUCCCUUUGUGGAUUUCUACAGCAAGUGCCUCACCUCUUCCAUCCUGUUCCUUCUCCAGUGUGCCCUGACCUAGGGGAAUGUUCCUUCGCCUCCUUGUUACUUCUCCUUGCAUCCAUAGCCAUGCUUUCUAGAUCACUUUGGAGGGAAAAGACCUCUACUUUUAGAGAAGAAACUUUUCUAUGGUAAAAAUCAAUAAAAACAAAAAUGAUGAAAAGCCUAGAAGUUAUAGACAGGCUUGUUUUUGUGCUUCCAUUUUUGUAGUUCUUGACUUUCAAGUGGCUUCCACAGUACCUUCAUCAAGAUCUAAGAAUGGUAUAUUUUAAUCAUUCUUUCAGAAAACAUUAUUUAAUAUAAAUGGCUUUGAAUAACUGCAACCAUUUACCUGGGAUAGGUUGCACCAAAAUGGUUCUGUGGCCAAGAGGAAAUUUGUUUUUGUUAGCAAAGCUUGAAUGUGAAGUGUUGUACUUUUUAUUUAUGCCACAUCAGGAGCCUGCUUAUUAAUUUUACCUGAGAAAAAUAACAAUUUGAUUAUAGGUCUUGCCCAAAUUUGAUAGACAUGUUUUGCAAUAUUUACUGUAUUACCUUUUGUAAAUCCAACAAAUGAUGAAUCCUGAAAUAGGUCUGGCCUAGAAAUUUUUGGAUAAGGGAUUGUAUUCAUUUAGUGCCUGACUACCCAGAAAUGCAAAAUGAAAAUGUUACAAGGAAUGUUGGUUUAUUAGUAUUUUAAGUAGCUAUACAAAGGGGUUAUUCCACAGGUCUAUUUAUGAGUACAAAGCAUCUUGCUUAAUGUUCAAGGAAAGUUCUUUAUCUGUUUGUGCUUCAUUCUUGGACUACUUGUUUUCCUUUUGUUCAAGGAGAGAAGGGUUAGGGGGCAAAGAAACGAGUUUUCUAGAUCACUUUGGUGAGAAAAGACCUAGAUAGAAAACUCACAUUUUUAAAAAAAAAAAAAAGGAUCAGAUUAAUCCAACACUUACUAUACCCAAAAGUAGAUCGAUCUUACAGAGGAUGAUUUCCACUGGGCCAUGUUUACAAUGUAUCCCAAUCAAUCUCAGCUUCUCAGUCACCUCCUUUCCCUAUUCUUUCCCAAAACAAUUUCAGCAGGUUUCAUUGCUCUGUUUUCAUAGUUGCAAAUAAUCUAGACCAUUUUCAACCUCCUUCAUCCUUCUUGUUUGCCCAACCCCCUCCAAUAAUACCUGUUCUCUGCCCCAGUCUAUACUCUUUCCUGACUCCCAGUGCCCUACUGAGCCAACAGCUUUCAUUGAGGAUUUUCAUCUAUAUUUCAAAUAUGUUAGAAAAUUAUGUACCCUCCAUUUUGCCCUACCCCUUUUUUCCUUUGUCUUAGAGUCGUUUUAUGUUUAUCCACAUGUAUAAUUAUGUAAAUGGAGUGUUGUGUGUGCACACUUCUGCAUGUAUGUCCAUGACUAUGUCUUUUAGUGUAGUUUGCACAUAGGAGGGAACACAGAUAUGUUCGUCUUUUAAGCUUGUUUCUUUAAAAACGAACUCUUUCAGCUGUAUAAAUUCUAAGCUAUGUCCAAAGGACUUCCAAAAUUGAAAAUGGAUUACAAAACAAUCCUCCUUUCUUUUUUUUUUUUUUACAAAAAAAAAACCCAAUAAUCAUGGGUUGGGAAUGUGGCUCUGUGGUAGAGUGCUUGCCUAGCAUAUAAGAGGUCCUGGGAUCCCCAAUACAGGAAAGAAAAAAAAAAGCAUUGUGAGGGUGUUAUCUGUAUUUUUUAAAUUGAAAAGAAAAAAAGUAAUCUACUUGGACUUAGAAAUAGGAAGAUAGCAGUUUGAGGCCAAUCUAGGCAAAAAAAAAA